rnacentral:rRNA from 1 species
CAGUAGCCGCGGGAAUACGUAGGGUGCGAGCGUUAAUCGGAAUUACUGGGCGUAAAGCGUGCGCAGGCGGUUCGUUAAGACAGAUGUGAAAUCCCCGGGCUUAACCUGGGAACUGCAUUUGUGACUGGCGAGCUAGAGUAUGGCAGAGGGGGGUAGAAUUCCACGUGUAGCAGUGAAAUGCGUAGAGAUGUGGAGGAAUACCGAUGGCGAAGGCAGUCCCCUGGGCCAAUACUGACGCUCAUGCACGAAAGCGUGGGGAGCAAACAGGAUUAGAUACCCCCGUAGUCCCUGUCUCUUAUAC